rnacentral:lncRNA from 12 species
AAUAAUCAACCAAUAAAUAUCUGGCACAUGCAUGUGAAGUCUGAGAUGUCUGUGGAACAUACUACAGGAAGCAUCAAGUGAGAUCACUUGGGAGGGAGCGUAGAGAAAGAAGAGCUGGUGAAGUCUAUGAAUGAGAUCACCAACACUUCCAUCAGACAAGGGAUGAGACAAGGACAAAGCCGACUGAAGAGCCAGAGAAGAAAAGCAGCCACUUGUAAGGGCAAAAGGGGCGGAGGAUCUACUGUGUUAAAUGCAGCUAAUAGGUUGAGUCAGGUGAAAACAUAAAGGUGUCACUGGAUUUCACAUCAUGAGCAUCACAGGUAACCUUGACGAAGGUAGUUUCCAUGAAGUACUGUGCAGGGACACCAAAAUGGCUUUGUGUUUCAUGAUUACUUUAUGAAAACCCCUGUGAUGUGUGGAUUAUUACCCCACAUAUCUACUGAGUGCUGGGAUAAAAUUCCAAACUCAGGUUACUGACAAGUCCAGUGAGUUCUCUUUCUACUAUUUCAAAAAUUCAUAAAAUAAUCACUCUCCUUUACAAACGAUGACAUGGCAAAACAGAAUGUUCCAAUCCUUACUUGCAGAAAUUCUGGCCACGUGCAACUUGGUCCACAUGGAAUCUCAAAUUCAAAAACCUACUUGGAUACAAGAUUCCACAGCCGCUAGGAGUUCUCCUCGAGAGGCACGGCAACUGCAGGGAACUUUAGAUCACAUCUGUCAGCUAAAAAUUCCAAGGAAGCUGCCUGCAUGCUAGUCGGGCUUCAGAAGAUGAAAGGUCAAGUAAUAACUGGUGAGGGAGACGAGCUGCAAAAGAGGAAAAUGAAAAUCUAUUGAAAAAUGGGGAGUUACUGUAGAAGGCUACGGAGCUGAGAAGGGCCCAGGAGAACAUUCCCAACUGAUUCCAAAAUGGCCAUGAAGUCACUGCUCCAGAAUCAGCAGUACCAGCAGGAAUAUUAAGAUAGGGAGAGGAAGAUUCCAAGGAAGAGUGACAUUUGGUCAUUUCUGAGGCCUUCAGUUUUCUGGGAGAAAACCUGGUACUUUUCCUUUGGCCAAUUCCUAAAUCUGUCACCUGGGUUUUGCAACGGUCUCCUAAUUCAUCUCCCUGCCUGGGGCACGGCUCUCUGUGUGACUCUCUGCACAAGAGCAAAUACACGGCCUUUUUGUGUCAGAAUCAUCAAGUCCUGUGUGAAGGAGAAGGGAGGGAAGGGGCUGAUGGAGGCUUGCCUGCAUGGGUGCAGUCCAGAAUGAUAGGGGGAGCACAGGGUUCUAUCAAUCAGGUUGCUUGCACUCGUAUCCUGGCUACUCCACCUUUUACUAUCCGGGCACCUCUGAAGAAGUCACUAACCCUGCUCUGCAUCAGUUUUUCUCAUCUGAAAACAAUGAGAUUAAGAGUGCCAACCUCUUAAGAUCAGUGUGAUUUUUAGAAGGGCUACUAUGUAUGAAGUAUCUAGACAAGUACCUGAUACAUAGUAAGCACUCAGUAAGGGUGAACA